UCCCCGUUGCCGAGGCAGUCUGUUUAGAAAAAUCCAACUAAACAUAAGGGUUGCGCUCGUUGCGGGACUUAACCCAACAUCUCACGACACGAGCUGACGACGGCCAUGCAUCACCUGUCACCGAGUUCCAAAAGGCACUCUCUUCUUUCGAAGAAAUUCUCGGGAUGUCAAGCCCUGGUAAGGUUCUUCGCUUAUCAUCGAAUUAAACAACACGCUCCACCGCUUGUGCGGGUCCCCGUCAAUUCCUUUGAGUUUUAAGCUUGCGCUCGUACUACUCAGGCGGGAUGCUUAACGCGUUAGCUUCGCUACGGAGGGGGUCGAUACCCCCCACAGCUAGCAUCCAUCGUUUACGGCGUGGACUAC
rnacentral:misc_RNA from 1 species